UUUCAGCGAACCGAGCCGCAGCGGCCGGUCCGCCGGACGACCGUUGCCGUAAGUGGCCAGCAGCGCCUGCGCCUC
rnacentral:antisense_RNA from 1 species